rnacentral:lncRNA from 1 species
UUACUACAUCACAUGGUACUGGCUCAACAUAUACCCCGUGGCAAUACUGUUCGAACCAAACCUGAUCCAUACCAGCCGAAGAUACGGUAAAGGAAGAUGGUUCGAUCGAAUGUUCGCCCCCAUCUUUGAAGAUGUCCUCACACUAAAGCUCAUCAACGGUUAUCACAUCACCCACUCUACAAUAGUGAUCGUGAAACUCACAGAUAUUUGGGGACGGUACAAAGAGCCUUUCAUACAGGUAGUCCAACAUGACCACUCCCAUGAAGAAAUCGAUUCCAUGUGGACUGGUUGCUGGAACGCUAGGCAAGCCUUAGCAGAGGUAUACGGGACUGUUCCCAUGUACAACACCCACAGUCCAGUAUCCCCACAAGUCUGCAGUACUCCAGACCUUUACUACAGAGAGGAGAUACGAAAUCUCAAACUACAUGGAGACGAAGACGAAGCAGCCGACAUGCAGCAUAAGUAUAAUGACUACCUUUCCCGACAUGGCAGGCCACAAGACAUCACCUAUCUAGAUACCCCAGAUAUUGACAGAUGGAGGAACGAACUUGAAGAUAUGGCCAACUGGCCAGACCUCCAAGAAUGGCCCCAGCCAGAACUAAACCCACAGCCAGACCCGAUUUGGCCCAAUAUUGGAGAAGACAUGGACGCCGCAUCUGAAGAACGAUGGAACCAUCGGUCAGGACGUAGCACGCCAACUAGUGGCAACUCUGGACUGUAGCGGAAGCUUAGUGGACCCCGCAGUGGAAACAUUGGUGAUAAUAAUAUAGUGUAUUUGUAUUCGUAUGUAUUAUGUACCAUCCUUAGAGAUAAGGAUAAGAGUGUGAGUGUGACAUAAAGUAAAGGAGUGAGUUGUAAAGUAGAUUCCUUUGUGAUAAGGUUUAGUGUGAGUGUGAUAUAAAGUAAAGGAGUGAGUUGUAAAGUAUAUUCCUUUAUGAUAAGGUUUAAUAAUGUCUACAGUAUGUAAUAGUGGUUCCCUUGUGCCUAUAAAAGGGAACCCUUGGUUUGUUGAUAGGGAUCGAGUCUUGGAGUGCAAUAUUGUAUUGUAAAUCUCUCAUUCUUCUUAAUGAAAGUAACCUUCCUCUGUUUGCUCUAAGCAUCUGUUUUUGUAUAUUUGUAUUCGUAUGUAUUAUGUUUGCUCUGUUUGCUCUGUUUGCUCUAAGUAACCUUCCUCUCGCUCUGAUACCAAAAAAUCUGUUUUGCUUUCUUUUGUCGGCCAGGAUUACAAGAGCACAUUUUGUCUGUAUGUUGGCAACCAAAUUUGUUUGGUUCCUCAUUACAGAAUUUUUGCAGAGAGGAUUUCUCAAUCUGCUUCAUGUGUCUUCGUAAAUCUUGAGAUCUGCAGUGGCUUUGAAUAAGCUCCAUUGCAAUCUGGUAGAGCUGGGCAAGGCUGAGCUGUGCUAAAUCAGUAAUUGCAUCAGCUUUGAAUUUGGCCUCCAUCAUUUCUGCAACUAGGCCUGACAUGUUUAGCACAAAUGUCCUGUGUAUGGUAUCGGAUUGUUUGUCAAAGAUGUAGUACAACCUUUCCUGCUCCAGGUAGUACUCUUCCAUUUUCCGAACAUCACAACACUUGUUUUGGAGAAAUUGCUUUUCAGCAACCUCUUCUUCUCUUGUGAAAUGGCCUAGAAAAUCCAAGGAUAGAUUUUCAACUAGGCUUCCAUAAGGAUCUUGUCUGCUGAGAAUGAAUUGUCGUUGCUCACCAGUAAGCUUUCGUCCCCACCAUCGUCUUAGCGAUCCAACAAAUCCUGCUACCAGCCGUAAUGCGGCUGAUCUUCUGCUUAACUGGGGGCUCUUUGACAUUCUCCUUCAUACCAUGCUACCAUUUUCUUAAAAUAAGCCAGCCUUUCUUUAGGCUUCAUUCCAUCAAUGUUCCAGAACAUCUUUCCGGUUGUGGAAUGUCCGAGUUGUACUCGGGUUUCCCAUUCUUCUCCUUGAUUGACUUCAUCUAUAUACGGGGCAUGAUCAGUAGGUGCAUCAGCCGGAUUGGAGGAGGCUUCUGUAGCUGCUGGUUCUGUGAAUUCAGGGGCAGUGAAUUGUGUUGUCCCUGAUGGGUUUUAAGUUUGCCUUGUAGGAUCAGAGGUUUGCCCAGGUGUUGUUGUUGAAGCUGCAAAUCUGGUACGUGUAUCCACAUAAAAUGGAUUUGUAGGAUUAGCUCUCUGCAUUAAAAUAGGAAUUGGAGGGUUCUCCGUAGAAGAGAUGCUUGAGCUAUCAUCAGUAUCUGUUUCCUCAUCCCACCCAGUAGCCUUCUGGGGCCAUGGGUAUUGAGGAGGAGGAGCAUAGCUUCUCCAAAAUGCUUUCUGGCAAUUCCCAGAUGCAUUUUCCUCCCAGAUGUGCCCUGGUUUUGUAGGCUUGCUCUUCCAGUGCCUGGACACCUUUAGUCGUUGACAACUCUCCCUUGUCCUUCUCAUUUCAUCUUCGUCUACUGCUCCGGUCAUCACAAUCAUGUUGACUGACCUGGAGGCACUUUCAUGUAGUUGAGAGAACUGUUGGGUGGACAUUUUAUGCUGUUUUUUAUUUUUCUUUAGCUGUUUUCUGAUUACAGCUAAGUCAGCAAGAAUCUGCUGUUGAGUGACCAUGAUGUCUCCCAAGGCUUGGUUUUGUUCCACAGCAUUGAUGUUUGACCAGUUGAUUGCCUUCUCAAUUGGGCCGAACUCUGUUGGGUUAGUUUUCUGUAUUACCCAUUUGGCAGCAUACAUUCCUCCGGGGAUAUCUUUUAUGAACUCAUUAUCAAGAUCCGGAGUGGUAAUCAUGUUUACUGGACCCAUGAUUCUGCAGGAGGUAGUUCUUCUUGGCAUAUGUGUGCACAAGAAGGGAUGCUUUCCCUCAAGCUGGCAUUUUUCACAUGGAUAGAGAGCUUUAGUCUCUGUGGGGAAAGAGACUGAUACUCUUCCUUCUUGUAGCCUGCUUAUCUUUGGGAUCUCAUGGAUUUGUUGAGGCCUGUUGUUUUUCUCAUACUCAUUAAUCCAUUGUGGUGGAAAAAUGAGUUGGUUUUACCUAUAAGUCCUGGGUUGAAAGACUCUGCCAUCACCAGCAAGAAAUCUGGUAAUAGGCCUGCCAGAGCUACUCAUAGAGAACAGAUGGGUUUGGACUUUAUAGGUCAUAGUGUGGUGGAUUGCCAAGGCAGAUUCAUCAGGUUUCAUGGUUAGACCAUUGACCUGAAUUAAUACCUUAAUGGCAUCUGUGAGGGAUGGCUUGUGUAUAUCAAGGGUAAAAUUUGGCUCAACUUGGAGAACAAGAUGGCCUUGGUUGAGUCCUGCUUCAACAGCAGUAAUUAAAGCCUUUUCAAAAGUUUGCCAUCUGGUGUCGAGAAUGGCAAUAAAACAUGUAAUAUCUUUUCCAGCUAGGAAUAAAGGUUGUAUCCUUAUCUGGAUUGCUCCAAGGUGUAGUCCCUUGUAUCCCUGAAGUUUAUACCUUGUAAUCUCGCUGGAAGAGAUUAUGGGAAGGUAUGUUUCUUUUGAGCUUGAGGAGAUUGACUGGACAGUGAUUUCAGAGGAUUUGUAGAUGGUUUUUAGCUUAGGUUGUCUUAUGGGGAUUAUGGCUCUUAGGUGGUUAAGAGUAGGGCUAAUAUGGUAGUAUCUGUAAGGAUCUAACGGAUCAAGUCUGAAGGACUGAACUGCUCUCUCACUAUUUUCAUCCCCUUGGGUUUCAUAAUGAAAGUUUACAGAGGGUAAACUAUCAGUUGGUACUCUGAUGGCCGAAGUAGAUGGUUGGUCAGAAAUUGGUUGGUUACUGGAUCUGUUACUGUUUUGGGUUUCCAUGGCUAAAAGAAAUCAGAGGGUUUUCCUUGGGGUGAUAAGCCCUAAAACACGGCACUUCUUGGCCUUCUCAAGGGGGCGCCGCACCUUACAAAAUUUACUCUGUACUGUUUUAGUAUGGAAAGUUUAGACAGGCAGACUAGUAUCCAACAACUUUAUGAUGUGGAGGAUCCGAAGUAUUUCGGCAACCACAGAGCAUAGUAUUGUUGCACACCCAGGGGUUUCCUUUUGGGAAAUAUGGCUCUGAUACCAAAAAAUCUGUUUUAGAGCAAACAGAGGAAGGUUACUUUCAUUAAGAGGAAUGAGAGAUUUAAAAUACAAUAUUGCACUCCAAGACUCGAUGCCUAUCAAUAAACCAAGGGUUCCCUUUUAUAGGCACAAGGGAACCACUAUUACAUACUGUAGACAUUAUUAAACCUUAUCACAAAGGAAUCUACUUUACAACUCACUCCUUUACUUUAUAUCACACUCACACUAAACCUUAUCACAAAGGAAUCUACUUUACAACUCACUCCUUUACUUUAUGUCAUACUCACACGCUUAUCCUUAUCUCUAAGGAUGGUAAACAAUACAUAUGAAUACAAAUACACUAUAUUAUUAUUGGUGGCCCAUGCAGGUCUGACUUCUACAGUAUUGGAUACAAAUCUAGAAAGGAAAUCCGCUACAGUAUUGGAUUCUCCUUUGAUGUGUCUGACUUCGAACUUAAAUCUCGAGAGAGAUUCGGACAACCUUGCUAGUUGUGGAUCUGGGAUUUCUCCUUCUUUUCUUCUGAUCAAUCCCAGCAGGUACUUAUAAUCUGUUUCAAUCAUAAAGGGGGUUAGAGAGAGAAAGAAUUGAAACUUCUUGAUCCCUUUGGUGACUGCUAAGACUUCUUUCUUUGAGGAUGGGUAGUGGCUUUGAGCGACACCAGAUGGCAAACUUUUGAAAAGGCUUUAAUUACUGCUGUUGAAGCAGGACUCAACCAAGGCCAUGUUGUUCUCCAAGUUUAGCCAAAUUUUACCCUUGAUAUACACAAGCCAUCCCUCACAGAUGCCAUUAAGGUAUUAAUUCAGGUCAAUGGUCUAACCAUGAAACCUGAUGAAUCUGCCUUGGCAAUCCACUACACUAUGACCUAUAAAGUCCAAACCCAUCUGUUCUCUAUGAGUAGCUCUGGCAGGCCUAUUACCAGAUUUCUUGUUGGUGAUGGUAGAGUCUUUCAACCCAGGACUUAUAGGCAAAACCAACUCAUUUUUCCACCACAAUGGAUUAAUGAGUAUGAGAAAAACAACAGGCCUCAACAAAUCCAUGAAAUCCCAAAGAUAAGCAGGCUACAAGAAGGAAGAGUAUCAGUCUCUUUCCCCACAGAGACUAAAGCUCUCUAUCCAUGUGAAAAAUGCCAGCUUGAAGGAAAGCAUCCCUCCUUGUGCACACAUAUGCCAAGAAGAACUACCUCCUGCAGAAUCAUGGGUCCAGUAAACAUGAUUACCACUUCGGAUCUUGAUAAUAAGUUCAUAAAAGAUAUCCCCGGAGGAAUGUAUGCUGCCAAAUGGGUAAUACAGAAAACUAACCCAACAGAGUUCGGCCCAAUUGAGAAGGCAAUCAACUGGUCAAACAUCAAUGCUGUGGAACAAAACCAAGCCUUGGGAGACAUCAUGGUCACUCAACAGCAGAUUCUUGCUGACUUAGCUGUAAUCAGAAAACAGCUAAAGAAAAACAAAAAACAGCAUAAAAUGUCCACCCAACAGUUCUCUCAACUACAUGAAAGUGCCUCCAGGUCAGUCAACAUGAUUGUGAUGACUGGAGCAGCAGACCAAGAUGAAAUGAGAAGGACAAGGGAGAGUUAUCAACAACCAAAGGUGUCCAGGCACUGGAAGAGCAAGCCUACUAAACCAUGGCACAUCUGGGAGGAAAAUGCAUCUGGGAAUUGCCAGAAAGCAUUUUGGAGAAGCUAUGCUCCUCCUCCUCAAUACCCAUGGCCCCAGAAGGCUACUGGGUGGGACGAGGAAACAGAUACUGAUGAUAGCUCAAGCAUCUCUUCUACGGAGAACCCUCCAAUUCCUAUUCUAAUGCAGAGAGCUAAUCCUACAAAUCCAUUUUAUGUGGAUACACGUACCAGAUUUGCAGCUUCAACAACAACACCUGGCCAAACCUCUGAUCCUACAAGGCAAACUCAAAACCCAUAAGGGACAACACAAUUCACUGCCCCUGAAUUCACAGAACCAGCACCUACAGAAGCCUCCUCCAAUCCGGCUGAUGCACCUACUGAUCGUGCCCCUCAUAUAGAUGAAGUCAAUCAAGGAGAAGAAUGGGAAACCCGAGUACAACUCGGACAUUCCACAACCGGAAAGAUGUUCUGGAACAUUGAUGGAAUGAAGCCUAAAGAAAGGCUGGCUUAUUUUGAGAAAAUGGUAGCAUGGUAUGAAGGAGAAUGUCAAAGAGCCCCCCAGUUGAGCAGAAGAUCAGCCGCAUUACGGCUGGUAGCAGGAUUUGUUGGAUCGCUAAGACGAUGGUGGGGACGAAAGCUUACUGGUGAGCAACGACAAUUCAUUCUCAGCAUAGAAGAUCCUUGUGGAAGCCUAGUUGAAAAUCUAUCCUUGGAUUUUCUAGGCCAUUUCACAAGAGAAGAAGAGGUUGCUGAAAAGCAAUUUCUCCAAAACAAGUGUUGUGAUGUUCGGAAAAUGGAAGAGUACUACCUGGAGCAAGAAAGGUUGUACUACAUCUUUGACAAACAAUCCGAUACCAUACACAGGACAUUUGUGCUAAACAUGCCAGGCCCAGUUGCAGAAAUGAUGGAGGCCAAAUUCAAAGCUGAUGCAAUUACUGAUUUAGCACAGCUCAGCCUUGCCCAGCUCUACCAGAUUGCAAUGGAGUUUAUUCAAAGCCACUGCAGAUCUCAAGAUUUACGAAGACACAUGAAGCAGAUUGAGAAAUCCUCUCUGCAAAAAUUCUGUAAUGAGGAACCAAACAAAUUUGGUUGCCAACAUACAGACAAAACGUGCUCUUGUAAUUCUGGCAGACAAAAGAAAGCAAAACGCCCCUGGAAACCAUACAAAGGGAAAAAAAUACCGUUUCAUCAAAAAAUGGAAACACAAGAAAGGCUCUGGCAGAUGUUUCAUCGGUGGCAAGAAAGGCCACUAUGCUAAACAAUGUAAAUCCAAAAAGAAACUCCCAGCCAAACUCAUCCAGCUGAUCCAGCAAGAUGAUUUUGAUGACGACAUUUAUACCUGGUCCGAUAGCCCCUUUGGUGCUGUCUAUACUCUUGAUGAAUAUCCUCUUUCUGAUUCUGAGGAUACUGCUUCUACAACGGACGGUGAUUCCCCCGAUGAUGAUGAUGAUGACACUGUUCUCACUGUUCGAGAACCUCUACAAGUUACUUCUGCCAUACAACGGUCUUCCCACUUCCGACCACACAUCAAAGUCAUCCUCAAUCCCUCUGAAGAUAGCCAGGUAGCUCUUACUGCUCUCAUUGACAGAGGAGCUAUGUGCUCAUUUAUCCGAGAAGCCUGUGUUCCCCGAUAAUUCUAUGUUCCUACUAAGGUUUCUUUCGGAUCCGCCAGUGGCAGGGAUUUCUACAGCAAAAAGGUUACUCGUCCUAUCGAGAUCCAACCUUUUAUGAUCCAGCAUGGAUUCUUUGCCUUUGACUAUUCCGGCGAAGAUAUCCUCCUUGGCACCGACUUUCUCCGUCUGGUUGCCCCUUUUGCCUUCUUUCCUGAAGGAUUCUCUUACACCAUCCGCAAUCCAGUCGAUGGUUCUCAGCAUACUUUUCAAGUUCCUUGGGUUGAAAAGCAAUACAUUUUUGGAGAGGGUGGAAAACUAACAAACUACCCAAUCCAUAAAUAUGAACCCCAAAUUAAGGAACUCCUUGAAUGCUGUGCCGAAGUACCAAACCAGUUCUGGGCUAGAGAACAAUACUUUGUGUCUCUACCAUAUAAAGAUGGAUGGACCAUGCCUCACCAGACAACCUCUCAUCCAGGCAUGCCCCAUGACGAAGAAUUGUGCAAAUCAGAGAUCCAGGCCCUUAUGGAUCUAAAGCUCAUCAGGCCCUCUAAGUCUCAUUGGGCCAGCCCAGCAUUCUAUGUCAACAAGCAUUCAGAACAAAUACGUGGAAAGAAGCGAUUGGUGAUAGACUACCGAAAGCUAAAUGAUUGCUUGCAAGACAUAAGGUACCCGAUUCCACGGAGGACGCAUCUUUUGAAACGCAUCGCUGGAGCAAAGGUGUUCUCAAAGUUUGACAUGAAGUCAGGCUUUUGGCAAAUUGGAAUCAAGGAAGAAGACAGACACAAGACAGCAUUUGUGGUCCCCCAUGGGCAUUAUGAAUGGAACGUGAUGCCUUUCGGCCUAAAGAAUGCACCGUCAGAAUUCCAAAACAGAAUGGAUGAGGUGUACAAAUCUAUUUCAGAAUUCUGCCUUAUCUACAUCGAUGAUGCCCUUAUCUUCAGCAACAGUGAGGAAGAACAUGCUGAACACCUGUCUCAAUUCAAAGCUCUUACCUAUAAACAUGGGUUGGCUUUGUCAGAACCAAAGAUGAAGAUAUGACUUGAUGAGGUAGACUUUUUGGGACUACACAUCAAAUAGGGAUUCAUCAUUCCUCAGCCACAUAUUGCUGAAAAAAUAUCCCAGUUCCCAGACCAGCUGUCAACCAGAAAGCAAAUCCAACAAUUCCUCGGGAUAAUCAAUUAUGCAGCAGACCAUGUGCAGAACUUGUCAAAGAUGACGAGUCAGAUAUCAAAGCACUUAAAGAAGGGUGCCCCACAAUGGUCGGAAGAAGCGACAAAGGUUGUGACAGACUUAAAGCAAAAGUGCCAGUCACUUCCACCAUUAAAGAUACCUGACAAAGGACAGCUCAUCUUACAGACAGACGCUAGUGACCAUUAUUGGGGAGCACUAUUGAUAGAGGAAUCCGAGGGAAACAGGAGAGUCAGUGGCUAUAAAUCUGGCCAGUUCAACGACGCUCAAAGCCACUACCCAUCCUCAAAGAAAGAAGUCUUAGCAGUCACCAAAGGGAUCAAGAAGUUUCAAUUCUUUCUCUCUCUAACCCCCUUUGUGAUUGAAACAGAUUACAAGUACCUCCUGGGAUUGAUCAAAAGAAAAGAAGGAGAAAUCCCAGAUCCACAACUAGCAAGGUGGUCCGAAUCUCUCUCGAGAUUUAAGUUCGAAGUCAGACACAUCAAAGGAGAAUCCAAUACUGUAGCGGAUUUCCUUCUAGACCAAUCACCAUGAUCACAAGAAGAAGCCUCCCGAGACGAUGGGAAGAAGGCAGCUCCAGUGCUCAUGAAAACAGAGCACACUUUCUCAAAGAUCUCAAUACUUUUAUUGCAUGGCUUCCUUCUGAAGUACAGGAAGACAUCUUUGAGAAGAUCAUCUCUCACAGGAGAGAUCCGGAAGAUCAGGCUCUGACAUGGCGGGUAUGGCAGCUCAUGGCCAUGCAAGAACACAAACCUGCCCAUAACAAGAAGUGCCAAAGAGCCUCCGAUCCGCAUCCAAACCCGGACCAGAUGCAUGAAACUAUCUUCAAGGUUGGUUGCACUUUUCACUAUGUGAUAGAUGAGAACUCCAAUUGGGGUCAUUAUGUCAUUUGCGACAUAACCCCUCAAGCUUACUAUAUCACAUGGUACUGGCUCAACAUAUACCCCGUGGCAAUACUGUUCGAACCAAACCUGAUCCAUACCAGCCGAAGAUACGGUAAAGGAAGAUGGUUCGAUCGAAUGUUCGCCCCCAUCUUUGAAGAUGUCCUCACAUUAAAGCUCAUCAACGGUUAUCACAUCACCCACUCUACAAUAGUGAUCGUGAAACUCACAGAUAUUUGGGGACGGUACAAAGAGCCUUUCAUACAGGUAGUCCAACAUGACCACUCCCAUGAAGAAAUCGAUUCCAUGUGGACUGGUUGCUGGAACGCUAGGCAGGCCUUAGCAGAGGUAUACGGGACUGUUCCCAUGUACAACACCCACAGUCCAGUAUCCCCACAAGUCUGCAGUACUCCAGACCUUUACUACAGAGAGGAGAUACGAAAUCUCAAACUACAUGGAGACGAAGACGAGGCAGCCGACAUGCAGCAUAAGUAUAAUGACUACCUUUCCCGACAUGGCAGGCCACAAGACAUCACCUAUCUGGAUACCCCAGAUAUUGACAGAUGGAGGAACGAACUUGAAGAUAUGGCCAACUGGCUAGACCUCCAAGAAUGGCCCCAGCCAGAACUAAACCCACAGCCAGACCCGAUUUGGUCCAAUAUUGGAGAAGACAUGGACGCCGCAUCUAAAGAACGAUGGAACCAUCGGUCAGGACGUAGCACGCCAACCAGUGGCAACUCUGGACUGUAGCGGAAGCUUAGUGGACCUUGCAGUGGAAGCAUUGGUGAUAAUAAUAUAGUGUAUUUGUAUUCGUAUGUAUUAUGUACCAUCCUUAGAGAUAAAGAUAAGAGUGUGAGUGUGACAUAAAGUAAAGGAGUGAGUUGUAAAGUAGAUUCCUUUGUGAUAAGGUUUAGUGUGAGUGUGAUAUAAAG